CCUCUCAUGGGCUGUAUUGGAUU
rnacentral:piRNA from 1 species